rnacentral:tRNA from 1 species
GAUAAAAUAAGCUAAUAAAAGCUAUUGGGCUCAUACCCCGAAAAUGGACUCAUCCCCUUUUAUCA